rnacentral:tRNA from 1 species
AAGGUUGUAGUUUAAAGAACAUUUAUUUUGCACAUAAAAAGAACAUUUUAGUCUUCCUUA